AUACGUAGGUGGCAAGCGUUGUCCGGAAUUACUGGGUGUAAAGGGAGCGUAGGCGGGAUUGUAAGUUGGAUGUGAAAACUAUCGGCUCAACCGGUAGAGUGCAUUCAAAACUGCGGUUCUUGAGUGAAGUAGAGGCAGGCGGAAUUCCUAGUGUAGCGGUGAAAUGCGUAGAUAUUAGGAGGAACACCAGUGGCGAAGGCGGCCUGCUGGGCUUUUACUGACGCUGAGGCUCGAAAGCAUGGGUAGC
rnacentral:rRNA from 1 species